rnacentral:lncRNA from 1 species
UCUAAUCAAUUUUCAAUGAAAUCAACACCAAAGAAACUGGACCAUCAAAACAAACUGUUGCACUACCAACUAAACCAUCUUCCUAUAUAAACCCCCAAACUCUACGCUUAAGCAUACAUAACUACAACAAAUACUCUUUGAAGAAAGUGAAAUGGCAGGUUCUAAAGGUUCGAAAUCUGGUGGUUCUCCCUCAGUGGGCUCCAAAACGGGUGGUUCUGCUGCUUCGAGCACGAAAAGUGGUGGUUCCCAGAAAGGUUCUGGCGGGUCCUCGGGAAGCAAGGUCCAGGGAUCAAGUAACGAUACUAUGAAGGCUCCUGGGCAGGAUGGGUUCAUCUCAAGGAGUGGUUUUGAGAGUGACCCUAAAGGCUAUUUCAAAGGUGUUCGUGAUUAAGUCUGAAUAAUUAAGCAAGUAAUCAAGUGUCGAUCUAUGCAAUAUAUAUAGCUAUUAUGAAGUGUAUGAUCUCCGGCAUUUGAUCUAUAUAUAUAAAUUAAAGCUUUAUAUUAAUAUUCCAAGUAUGUUCUUGAAUUUUAUUGCGCAUGAAUGCUGAAGACCAGUAAAAGUGUUAUUGGAAAACAGAACAAAUCUUCAUUAAGGUGUGACAAAAAUAGAAUUUUAAUGAGUGAUGAUCAUGUAGACAACGAGUUCGUUCAUAACAUUCAGAUGGUUACAGCUUUCUGAAACAAGCAUAUGUCGCAUGAUUAAGCAUUAAACUAAAUCGUUUCUAUUGCAGUAUGUUUAUUUACUACUAUAAAACAGCACAAAUCAAUUAUUAGAAUUAUUUUGUAAUGAGAUGAUUAAAUAUUAGAGGAAACUAAAAUACAUGUUGAGUUGCUAUAAUGUUGAUGUAAUAUUCUAUGAACCUCUGUUUGCUGCUGUUUUUUCUAUUAGGAUACAAAAUUAAAUGAGGAUUUAUUUUCUGUUAGAGUUACUUUAAAAUGUAUCUUGGAUGUAAAAUUUUCAUAUUUAAUAUAUCCUUAUUCAAAUUUUUCAUAUUUAAUAUAUCCUUAUUCAAAUUAAGUUAGGGUGUAAUUUAUAAUUUUUAAAGUUUUAGAAAUAAUUUGUUACAUGUCAUUGUGAUUUGCCGGCAUAUAUUUAAAUUAAAAAACACAAUUCUGUUAUUUAUUGUUACAUUUUUUAAACUCAAAUAAAAAAUUAAAAAAAAUAUUUUAGGAAAGAGAAGAUUCAUAAAUAAUUCAAGUCAUCAAAAUAAAUUUGGUAGGAUGUAUUUAUUUGAACAACUUAUUUUUUCAAUCAAUUUUUUAACAAAAACUAAUUCAUUACUCAAAUAACUAGUUUAUAAAUUUAUUUUUGUUGUUAAAAUACAGAAUUACUUGAACAUCUAAUUUAAACUAUACGCAUAAGUUGUUAUUUUAAACUCGCUAAAUGGACUACCAGUCACAUGCUUAUUAGUGAGUUUCCUAUACUUCAAAUACAGGCAUCUAAGCGAUCCAUCUUUCACACCGUCUCUAAUCAAUAUUCAUCGGAAAUCAACACCAAGAAGCUGGAACAUCAAAACAAACUUUUGCACUUCCAACUAAACAAUCUGUUUCAUAUGUCUCUUCCUAUAUAAGCCCCCAAACUCUCCGCUUAAGCACACAUAACUACAACAAGUAUAUACUCUGUGCAGAAAGUGAAAAUGGCAGGUUCUAAAGGCUCGAAAUCUGGUGGUUCUACCUCAAUGGGCUCCAAAACGGGUGGUUCUGCUGCUUCGAGCACGAAAAGUGGUGGUGGUUCGCAAAAAGGUUCUGGUGGGUCCUCAUUGAGAGUGACCGGAAAGGCUAUUUCAAAGGUCUUCGUGAUUAAGUCUGAAUAAUUAAGCAAGUAAUCUAAGUGUCGAUCUAUGCAAUAUAUAUAGUUAUUAUGAAGUGUAUGAUCUCCGGAAUUUGAUCUAUAUAUAAAAAUUAAAGCUUUAUAUUAAUUAUCAACUAUGUUCUUGAAUUUUAUUGUGCAUGCAUGCUGAAGACCCAGUAAAAGUUUUAUUGGAAAACAGAACAAAUCUUCAUUAAGGUGUGCUAAAAAUGGAUUUUUAAUGAGUCAUGAUCACCACCUGAUUAACGAGUUCAUAACAUUUAGAUUGUUACACUUACCUUGCAUGAUUAAGCAUUAAAUUAGAUGAUUUCUAGUUGCAUAGUUGCAUGCCGUAGUAGGUUUUUUACUAUGAAAAAACACGAAUUUAUCAUCCUAUUAGAAUAGGUUACAGAUUUAAAAUAUAAGAGGAAACAAAAAUACAUUUAAUAAAUUCCGCUUACUCUUGAUAUCAAGAUGUAUCACAUGUAAUAUGAGUUUAUACCAUUGCAGAAGUAAAUCAGUUGUUAGCAUGGUACAAAAAUUAAGAUUAAUAAAAUGUAUGCCUGUUAUAUUUAAUACAUUUCCUAAAUUAUCUUAGGACGGUUAAAUAAUUUGUGAGUAAUUAUAUUUAAUACUCUUUAAUCUUUAAUGAGUUGUCAUUAUAAUUUUCUGCACAUAUCUGAAAUAAAAAUCUUAACUCCAUUCAUAUAUAUAUAUAUUUUUUAAAUAAAAAUAUAAGUAAAAAAAUUAUUUUAAAAAUGAGAAUUUAAAAAAAAAAUCUAAAAAUUAAUCUUUCCACUUUAAAUAUCUGUAUUUUGAAUUUUUGAUAUGCAUUUUAAGUUAUUUUGGCUAUAUAAUUGAAAAAUAUUUUACAAAUUUUCUUUAUCAGAACAAAAGUAAUCGAGCAUACAUUAUUUAUAUAAAAAAUUUAAGAAAAACCUACGUGUUCUUAAGAAUAUUUAACUUAUACUACUUUAAUUAUAGACCAUGAAACUUAACGUCGUUUUUUUUUCCCCACGGAAAGUAAAGAUUUUAUUAAUGCAAUAAAUCUUUACAAAGCACAAAUUCAAAGUCAGGAUGGAUAUCUUCCACCUCCCAUCUACGAUCAGCUAUAGAACAGCUAUAUCUUGCUAAAUAGUGAGCUACUAUAUCUUGCUAAAUAGUGAGCUACUAUGUUCGCGGACCGUCUCACAAACCUUAACACAAUGUUUUGAGCACAUAAAUCUGAAAGAAGAGAUCUGCAGUCCUCGAUCACCUUUCCUAGAUAAGAUAAACUAGAGAAAGAGUGCGAAUGAGCUGCACAACCUGUAAGCAAUCAGUUUCCAACACUACAUUACUCAGACACUUUUGUUUCGUCCAACUGAGGGCUUCUUUAAUACCCAGAGCUUCUGCAAAUUUGGGAGUUACACAGCCUGGAGAACAUUUUGAGAUAGCUUCGAUUAGAGUACCACAAUGAUCACGAAUAAUAAAAGCUUAGCUGUAUCGUCUUGGAUCUUCGAAGAUAGCUGCAUCGAUAUUAAUCUUAACACUAUUUUCUGUUGGGAGAUUCCACUGUUCUUGACCGUCUUCAGAGGUCAUAAAACCUAAGAAAGAGUCAUAAUUUUUGUCUUGAACAGAUCGCCAUUGGUUAAGAAAGGAGAGUGCCGAAUUCAUUACCUCGAGGGGGUCGAUACUACGUUGCUUCCAUAUUGAAUCAUUCCUGUUCUUCCAUAUUAUCCAGCAUAGAGUUGCAUGGGUAUAUAUCUCUUCCAGAUGUUGGUGACCAAUUAAAGCAUGAAGCCAAUCUGCAAAUGAUAUGACUGAACCUUGAAGUGUGGAUAGAAAUGAACUUCCCACAAGCUUGUGACAGUAAUCUGCAAAUGUGCAUGAGACCAGGGCAUGCAUAACAGUUUCUGGUUCCUCAUUACAAAUGGGACACAGAGAAUUAACAUUCACAUUCCUAGCACGUAAAAGAUCUUUAGUUGGUAAGCACCCAGAAGCAGCACGCCACAUAAAUUUUUUUACCUUGGAUGGUAUUUUCAAUUGCCACAAUUUUCUCCAGAACCCAGAGUUGUCAGCAGAAUUAGGAUUGGCCUUGGACUUUUGAAUGCUGAUGUACGCGCUCUUGACAGAAUAAUGACCCAUCUUUUCAUGUCUCCAAUACCAGGUAUCUUUGACGUUCUCUUGAAGGGGGAUUGAAAGAAUAAGCUCUGCAUCCCGUGUUUCAAACACGUCCGUGAUCAAGUCCACGUCCCAUACUGAUUCCCCUGUAUGCAUUAAGGAGGCCACCUUUUUGUUAACAAUUGAAUCACUAACAGUAUGAAUAUAAGGGUCCUCUGUAAAAGGAAGCCAUGGAUUGUGCAAUAUAUCAAUGUUCUGGCCAUUGCCUACGCGACAAGAAAUGCCCUGAGCAAUCAGAUUCUGAGUUUCGAACAUGCUACGCCAGACAUAGCUUGGAUUUACACCAAGCUUAGCCGUUAGAAACGUUCCGUUAGAAUAAUAUCGGGCCUUGUAAACUUUGCUGACCAACUUAUCAGGAUGAGUCACCAAUCUCCAAGCCUGGCUUCCCAGUAAAGCAAUAUUGAAGUCUCGAAGACACCUGAAGCCCAUACCUCCUUCAAGCUUGGUCGAACAUAGUCUACUCCAACACAUCCAAUGGAUGUUUUUAUUUUUAGCAGGGUCUGUUCUCCACCAGAAUUUAGACAUGACCAUUUCUAAAUCCUUGCACACUUCAAGAGGGAGCAGAAAAACACUCAUUGAGUAACUAGGAAGGGUCUGAGCGACAGACUUAAUUAGAAUUUCUUUCCCUCCUUUCGAUAAAUUUUUCUUGUCCCAGCCUUGGAUUCUCUCUUGUAACCUCUCCUUUAUAAACCCAAAAACUUCUGAUUUUUUGCCAGAAAUCAUAUUUGGAAGGCCUAGAUAUAGACUAUUAGCUCCUGCUUCUUUGAUUUGCAGCUGGUGAUAAAUCUCUGACUUAAGAUGGGAACUGCAAUUACGGCUAUAGAAUACUGAAGAUUUGUCUGCAUUAAUCUGCUGCCCGGAAGCCUUCUCAAAUGCUUUCAACAUAUUCAGAACAUGUUUUGCACUUUCUACAUUUGCUUUACAAAAGAUAUAACAAUCAUCUGCGAAAAACAUGUGGGAGAUAGGAGGCGCAUUACGAGCAACUUUGAUGCCUUGAAUCAGACCUUUCUUCUCAUAUUCAGAAAUCAAAGAAGUGAAUCCUUCUAUACAGAUUAAAAAUAGAUAAGAGGACAAGGGAUCACCUUAUCUAAGGCCACGAGUGGGAACAAUUCGACCAAAAUUUCUUCCGGCAUGACUAACUUGAUAAUUGACUGAGCUCAUACAAGCCAUGAAUAAUCGGAUUGCCUUCUCUUCGAAACCCAGCUUGCGCAACACUGCUUCCAAAUAACUCCACUCAACACGGUCAUAGGCUUUACUCAUAUCAAUUUUAAGGCCAUCCAACCUUGCUUGACUUUAGUUUUGCGCUUCAUGAAAUGCAUUACUUCAUAUGCUACCAUGAUAUUAUCUGUGAUCAGACGACCAGGAAUAAAAGCGCUUUGAGUAUCAGAAAUAAUUGAAUCAAUGAAUGAUUUCAAUCGGUUAGCUAACACUUUCGAGAGCACUUUGUAUACAACGUUACAUAGCGAGAUCGGUCUUUAAUUAACACAAAAAUUGGAAAAGCAAAAAUUUAACUAUAUCAAUAUCUUUAAAUGUGUGUGAGAAAACACCAAAUGUCGAUUAUUUGAAUAAAAAGUAUACGUGUGAGUGCUUAAUCUUGGACAACUUGUGAAAAUCUGUCAUGAUUCUGAUGCAAACAAGAGGAUUACUGUGGCACAAAUGGUGGACGAGAUCAGGGCGUUGUAUGGUGCUGGUCAUCUAACAACGACAAAUUUACUUUCAUGGACCGUUUUUCUUCUAGCAGUGGACACAGAUUGGCAGGAUAAAGCUAGGAAGGAAGUGGUUGAACACUUUGGCCAGGAAAAUCCUUCAUCUGAUGGCAUUGCCAGGCUUAAAUCCGUAAGAAUUUUACAGACCUAAUCAACACAUACACGCACACACAAGUAAUAUGAUCUCUGGAUUUUAAUCAUCGUCAUGGUUCUGUUUUAAUUUUCUUGUAGAUGAACAUGAUUAUAAACGAGUCACUCAGACUCUAUCCACCCGUGCUUACUGUGACAAUAGCAGUUAAAAAGGAAGUAAAAUUAGGAAGCCUCACUCUUCCUCCAAAUCUCAGCAUUUUCAUUUCCAUACUCGCUCUUCAUCACGAUCCUCAGAUAUGGGGCAAAGAUGUUCAUCUCUUCAAACCAGAGAGAUUUUCUGAAAGGGUGGCUAAAGCGACAAACAACAAUGCUGCAGCAUUCAUUCCUUUCGGUAUGGGGCCUCGGACUUGUGUGGGACUGAACUUCACAACAAAUGAAUCAAAGAUUGCACUUUCAAUGAUCCUGCAGAGGUACAAGUUCUCACUGUCCCCAAACAAUGUUCAUCACCCGGCUGAUAUAUUUAUCCUCACCCCGAAAAAUGGAGUUAAAGUGAUACUUCAGAAACUGUAACUCUUUGCAGAAGAAACUACUUAUGCAACUCUGAAGUUGUUUGUAUGAUCAAUAUGUAAAUAGGAUUAAGGUUACAUUGUAAGCAAUGAAUGUGAAAUAAAUAAUAAUGUCAUUGUACAUUAGAUAAGUUAAAGAUUAUGGUAUCUAAUCAUUUUCAUUAUGGUAUUAACACUGUUUUGAUGUGAGAUCAUGGACCACUAUGUUUGGUAGUAUAAUUAUGGACCACUAAGUUUGAUGUAAGAUGAAAGCUGCUUUAUCAUGCUCUAAUAUGUAACAAGUUUUGUAAGAUACAAUGAUUGUCUUUGCACUGAUUAAAAUUUGAUGAAUAAAUUAGACCUCUAAAAUAUGUAAAAUUUAAUAAAAUAUUCUGUUUUUUUUUUUGCCAGUAAAUAUUCUGUUUCGAUAGUAUAGGCUAUAAUAAAUGAUUAUUCCCUCAUUUCCUGUAGAUUAUAAACAUUAGAUGAUGGAGACGUGACACACUCCUAUAAAAUAUAGUUUUGUAACUUAUUUUUAAUAUUUUUUUUUAAUAAAUAUUUAAUAUCUAAAUUUUUGUUCAUGAAUUUUUUUAAAAAAAAUAAGUUAUAAAACUAUAUUUUAUAAGAGUAUUAAAGUGUGUGCCGAACAAUGAAAAAAUGUAUAAAAAUGAGUGAGACGGGCUGAGUAUAUCUUUAAAAUAGUAUGUUAUUUAUUAUUUUAAACUAUCAUCAAUAAAAUAUUAUAUUUUAAUAUAUAAGUAGAUAACACGUUUCACUACAUAUUUCUACAUGUUCAAUAGAUAUAAAUUAUAAUCAAUAUCACAAUUGAUUAUAAUUAUAAACAACAAUUCAUUAUAAUUAUAAACAACAAUUCUGUAUAAUUGAAAUGAUACAAAAUAAGGAUAAGUAAAUACGCAAAUGGGAAGUUCCACCUAUGUGUAAUAUUUAAUUUUUCUGUCAUAUAGCAUAUAUAAUUAUUUUAUUUAAAUAACAAACAUAAUAAUUUUAAGAUUAAUGGAAAUUAGGUAACAGCUUGAACUGAAAAGAUUCCAUACGUGUUUGAUAAAGAUGACUUAAAUUUCUUCCGAUGUCUACACUAUUCACUCCAACAAUUUACAUUCAUAGUCAUUGUUGUUCGAUCUUUUUUCAUUCUUGCAGUUGUGCAUAUAUCAAUGAAAAUGCAAGUUAUGCAUGACAAAAGUUUGAAUAGUCAAAAUAUUGUGAAAUCAAAAAGAAAUGCCAUGAUUCUUUCAAAAUUUAAUAACAUAAGUCAGUACAUUGUUAGAUGUGAGUUUAUAUAUACACACAUACAUACUCCCAUUUUAACUGAUAUUUGAUUUUUAUAUUAUUUGUUAUCUUAUCUGUUCAAUUACUAAAUUUGAAAUUUUAUUAGAAAAUUAUAUAAGAAACCCUUUAUUAUGAAAAUUUAAACUUAACCAAAUUAAACAUAUGAUGUAUAAAUUCAAGACUUGAAAAUUCGUACUCGUGGAUGAACAUUUGGUGUUAAUAAUCUUGUUUUAAAAAUUUGAAAUAUAUUUAUCAUUUCAUAAUGUAAAGCUAGUAUCACCCGAAUUCCUUUAACUUGAUCGAUUAAACUAAUUUUCAAGAAGAUAGAUUCCAAAUAAAUAAAAUAGAUUUUUUUUGCUUUUUGAAAUUUAUGAUGCAUUUCAGUUAUACUAUAGAGUUGAAAUAUAAAGAAUGUAAGAGGUAUAGAUUUUAGUUUAUUUAAAUUGGAUUAUAUUAAAAUAUGGAUUAUAUUAAAGUUUUGAUGAAGGUUAUAUGUGUAUAUAUCAAUUUCAACAAAUCGCUUGAUUGUGUCUUUGCAAAGAUUAGAUUAAUCAGCGAUAUGAUCUGUUUCAUGUUUGUUCGACUCGAUUGUUCUUGUAGAUGCCGUAUGGCUUUUCAUUAUCGAAUUAAUUUCUUCUUUUUUUUUUUUUUCAAAAAAAGAAGAAAAGACCCUCAAUGUAGAGGUACUUGACCCAGCUACCUUGGAUACUUUUAGUUUUAAAGCCGAAAAUUAUAUGUUUGUGUAUAAGUUAUUAAGUGAUUUAAAAUUAAAAAUAAAUCAGAAUUUCAAGUCAAUCAAAAUUUGGAGGAUGUAUUUAUUUGAACAACUUAUUUUUUCUUGAACAUCUAAUUUAAACUAUACGCAUGAGUGCAUAACUCACUAAAUGGACUACCAGUCACAUGCUUAUUGCUUAGUGAGUUUCCAUACUUCAAAUACAGGCAUCUAAACGAUCCAUCUUUCAAACCGUCUCUAAUCAAUUCUCAUUGAAAUCAACACCAAAGAAGCUGGACCAUCAAAACAAACUUUUGCACUUCCAACUAAACCAUCUGUUUCAUAUCUCUCUUCCUAUAUAAACCCCCAAACUCUCCGCUUAAGCAUACAUAACUACAACAAGUAUAUACUCUGUGCAGAAAGUGAAAAUGGCAGGUUCUAAAGGCUCGAAAUCUGGUGGUUCUACUUCAAUGGGCUCCAAAACGGGUGGUUCUGCUGCUACAAGCACGAAAACUGGUGGUUCGCAGAAAGGUUCUGGUGGAUCCUCGGGAAGCAAGGUCCAGGGAUCAAGCAACGAUACUAUGAAGGCGCCUGGUCAGGACGGGUUCAUUUCAAGGAGUGGUUUUGAGAGUGACCCCAAAGGCUAUUUCAAAGGUCUUCGUGAUUAAGUCUGAAUAAUUAAGCAAGUAAUCAAGUGUUUAUCUAUGCAAUAUAACUAUUAUGAAGUGUAUGAUCUCCGGCAUUUGAUCUAUAUAUAAAACUUAAAGCUUUAUAUUAAUAUUUCAACUAUGUUCUUGAAUUUUAUUGUGCAUGCAUGCUGAAGACAAGUAAAACUUUUACUACAAAACCAAAAGUGAAAAAUAGAAUUUUAACGAGUGAUGAUCACGUAGACAACGAGUUCAUAACAUGUCACAGUUUUCUGAAAAAAGCAUGUCAGUUUUCUGAAAAAAGCAUAUGUCGCAUGAUUUGGGGAUGUUUUUUACCGGUAUAAAACAGCAUAAAUCAAUUAGAAUUACUUUGUAAUAAUAUGAUUAAAAUAUUAGAAGAAACUAAAACAGAUGUUAUAUUCCUGAAAAAAAUAUACAGGUGCUUUUCGAAAAUUUGUUAGGUGUCCCGAAAAAAAUAUUUCUAGAUUCACUGGAUGGAGUCCCUAUAUUAUCAACCGUUUUCAGUUGUUAUAAUUGAAAACAACGAACUUUCAUAUGAUAUCAUUGAUGUAUUUUAACAAUUGUUAUCAUCUUAUAAAAUCAUCAUCGCUACAUAAAUAGAUCUUAAAAUAUGAUACAAGAGAAGUAUUUUAUAAAGUUAAAGAUGAGAGUGUGUGAAUAUCUAUCUAUUUCUUACCUCUUCUCAAUAGUUUCAAGUUUAAUGGGAGAAAAUUAAAAGCCAAAAGUCAUGGAAUUAGUUUAAUGAGAGAAAAUUAAAAACCAAAGAUCAUGGAAAAAUUCCAAGAACCAAAAAGUCAUCCAUAAAAUCAUUUUAUAACAAUAUGUCUAAUAUUCUUACAAUUCUAAUAUUUUAAAAAUGGUCUCAUAAGAUAAUCGAUCUUGUAAUAUAUGUCUAAUAUUUUAUUUUUCAGUUAAUAUAUAUUAAUUAUUUCUAGUAAUUAAAAUAUAUGUCAAUUCUAAUGAAACUAAUCAACAUGAUUCAAGUAGGUGAGAUCAGCGAUUUUUCGGUAUGAUUUAAGUUUCAUCCAAUAUCUAGGCUUUGGCUCCAACAAUAUACAGAUAUUGAUGGUUCGAUAUUUUCUCAUUCCCGUCAUUGUCCAUAUAGCAAACAAAUUAAAUAGAUAACAAAAACCAGAAAAUAUGCAUGACAAAAAUUCGAACAAUCGAAAAAAUGUGAAAUCAAUAAGAAAUGUCUAUUUCAUGAUUUUUUUCAAAUUUAAUUAAUGAGUUAUUUUAUUAUUAAAUGUCAGUUCUUAUAUAUUUAUAUUUAUGUACCGGUAGUUUUCUUUCGAUAAUUAAAUAUAAAUUCUUAUUAGAAAAUAAUAAAAACAGUGAAAAAACUAAACUAAAUCAAAUCAAUUACAUAUACCAUAAUUCGAAGAGUUGAGAAUUCGUAGGUUAUUGGCUGAACAUCCGAUAUUAAUAAUUUUAUUUUAGAAAUUUGAAAUAUACAUAUUAUUUUAUAAUACUCAACACCAUCAAAAUUCUUUUAAUUUUGCCAUUUUGUAGUCAGAUUUAUAAAAUAGAGUUUUUGUUUGAUGUCUACAUGACCGAUAACCAGGAACAAAGAAAUUCUUCGACAAAUAGAUUUCAAGUAAAUGAAAAUAUAUAUUAAAAAAACAAUUUAUGAUGCAUUUGAGCUGUACUCGUGCGAGUUGGAUUAUAAAUAUUUGAAGGUAACAGAGUUUUCUUGUUUAAACUUUUAAGUUAAGUGCUUGGACGUGUUUAUGAUUUAAAAUGAGAAAUUAGUUUGAAAUAAAUUUUUUGAAAUAUUAAUUUUUAUAAAAAUGACCAACAAAGCAUAUGUUAUUUAUAAAUUAUUUUUAUUUGAAUUAUUAUAUUUUUAUUAAUUUAUAAAUUAAAAUUAUCCAAAUAAAUAUUUUUACAUUAACUUAUUACAUAAUUCAUGAGUUUAAUCUCAAUCAAACUAUUUCAAAAACCGUACCUAAUCUUCUUCAUAUUUAUAUAAAGGAGGUUCCUCAGAGGAUGACGUGGCAUCUCUCAAGGACCUCCAUCUAAGUUUUCUAGCAUUUUUGUACUUUGUUAUUUUUAUUUUGAUUAAAACAAAUAGAUUCUUUGUCUUUUCAGCUUAUUAAUAUUAUUAUGAAUUACAGUUGCAGACUUUUUGUUUUCCUCUUCACGUGACUUCUUGCUUUCCAUGUGAUGACAGUAUAUAUAGAUGUUUAUGCAUUGAAUUGCUAAUUGGUUGUGAUUAACUUGAUGAGUAAUUUCGUUGAUAAAGAGAUCUAAUUGUUGAUUUGCAGAUGGCUCGUACUAAGCAAACUCUGCUCGCAGGUCCACCGGAGGAGAGACACCAAGAAAACAACUGGCUACCAAGGUCGGUGUCUGUUUGUAUAGUGUGAUUUUGUUGUAUGUUUGAUAUUGAACUUUUAUGAUGAUAUGUGUCGGUUAUUACAGUCAGCUAGGAAGUAUGCACCAACCACUGGUGGAGUGAAGAAGCCCCAUGGAUCCAUCAAAUACAGUGGAAUAAACCUUUAGGAGGUUCUCUGACAUCUUUCUACCUGGGCAUCUAUAAAUGUUGAAGUAUAUAUGUGAUAUGAAGAAGGAUCGUCUCCACUCGUGAAUUGUGAUGAUACUGUAAGUGUGGCAAUCUCCGUCGAGUUCUGCGUGGCGGUAUGAAAUUUUGAGGGGUCAGUGGGAGGCUUUGUCGCCUAUGUUGUGGCCUCGUGGGAGUUUUGCUUAAGCAAUAAGCACAUUUUCAAAUAUUUUUUCCUUGCUCAUGGGAGUGCUCAACUGGAGUUGCUUUAUCGCAUCGAAAAAAAGAUAUGGCAUGUUAAUAGAUAAAGGCGAAGGGAAAGUGAAAGUACAGGAUAAGUUUAGUGAUAUUGCUUUGAUAAAGAAACUUGAGCUCAUUAGUUUUAAUGAUCGAAGGGAACAAACAAGUAUCUUCUGGUAAUGCUGAUAGAAGUUUCAAAGGUUUUGGAGCAUAACAGUGAUAAAAAUAUACUAGCAUCUAUGGAACAAAAUAAUUUUGCACUUGUACGAAAACCUCAGAUGUUGGAUGAUGAUAGUGAAGAAGAAAAACCCAAGGAUUAUACCAAAUCAAGCUCUACGGAAAAUUUAUCUUCUGAAAUGGUAUAUACAUCCAAAGUUAGCCCUGACCUGAACAAUCUUGUCCUUGAAGAAAAACCUCAGAUUUUGGAUGAUGAUAGUGAACAAGGAGGUCUUACCGGAUCAAGCUAAGUGAAGGUUUCAUCUGCUGAAAUGAUAAAAAAAAUCAUAUAAUUAACUUUUUGUUUUCCCAGCUUAUUAAUUGCUUCCAGAAACGGAACAUGAGGCUGAUGAAUAUUGUACAGAAAGGAAAUCUUUCGCUAGGUGAGCAAAGGUGUGAAUUGAAUGCAUUACAGAUCAAGAGUGAGACUCAAGCUGAAAUGCAGCUAAGAUUUUUACAACAUGACUAUGCCAGGCUCAAAAUAAACUUACCGAGGAUUCAAGUUUAAUUGUGCUUCUUUCCGUAGGUGCUAAAAACAAGUUAUAUCUUCUUAUAUUUCAAUAACAAAUACAAAAUAAAAGAAUUUAGAAAUUAUGGAUUCAGAAAUUAUAAAUGAAAAAGAUUUUUAAAAAGAUUUUAUAUUUAUUUCUCACUCGCGCGGAGCGCGUUUUUUUCACUAGUUUAGUUACUUAAUUUAGAUUUAAUCAAGUCAGUUUCUUGUACUUCAAAUACAGUGCAUCUAAACAAUCCAUCUUUCAAACCGUCUCUAAUCAAUUUUCAUUGAAAUUAACACCAAAGAAGCUGGAGCAUCAAAACAAACUUUUGCACUUCCAACCAAACCAUCUGUUUCAUAUGUCUCUUCCUAUAUAAACCCCCAAACUCUCCGCUUAAGCACACAUAACUACAACAAGUAUACAUUCUGUGCAGAAAGUGAAAAUGGCAGGUUCUAAAGGCUCGAAAUCUGGUGGUUCUACCUCAAUGGGCUCCAAAACGGGUGGUUCUUCUGCUACGCGCACGAAAAGUAGUGGUGGUUCGCAAAAAGGUUCUGGUGGGUCCUCGGGAAGCAAGGUGCAGGGAUCAAGUAACGAUACUAUGAAAGCUCCUGGGCAAGAUGGGUUCAUUUCAAGGAGUGGUUUUGAGAGUGACCCCAAAGGCUAUUUCAAAGGUCUUCAUGAUUAAGUCUCUAUAAUUAAGCAAGUAAUUAUCAAGUGUCGAUCUAUGCAAUAUAGCUAUUAUGAAGUGUAUGAUCUCCGGCAUUUGAUCUAUAUAUAAAAGUUUAAGCUUUAUAUUAAUAUUUCAGCUAUGUUCUUGAAUUUUAUUGUGCAUGCAUGGUGAAGACCAGUAAAACUUUUACUACAAAGCCAGAACAAAUCUUCGUUAAGGCGUGUGAAAAUAGAAUUUUAAUGAGUGAUGAUCAUGUAGACAACGACUUCAUAACAUGUCACAGUUUUCUGAAAAAAGCAUAUGUCGCAUGAUUUGGGGAUGUUUUUUUACUAUAAAACAGCACAAAUCAAUUUACUUUGUAACAUAUCUGUUCCCGGAUACAAAAUUAAAUUGAGAUUUGGUGAUAUCAUUGUGAUUUGCCCGCACAUAUUAUAAAUUAAUAGAACAUAUUUUUUUAUUUACUUUUACAUUUUUUAAAAUAAAAAUAAAAAGUUAUAUUUUAAGAAAGAUAAGAUUCAUAAAUAAUUCAAAGGAACCACUCUCCCCUUAUUAAAUAUCUGUAUUUUAUAUUUUGACUAUAUAAAAGAUAAGAUAAUCUGGCUGCUUUCAUGCUUUUAAUUUGUUACUUAUGUUUUAUUCUGAUCUUAUCUUCUGAGUAUUUUGUGAAGCUUGAAUCACGAAAUGAAUGGUCAGUUUUGCUAUACAGUAAAUGAUGAUGUUUUUUAUUUUCUUAGCAAUUAUAUACACAUCUCAUCUUGUUAAAACUAAACAAAACAAACCAGGCAAUUGCAAUAAUUAAUUAGUUAUCAAUUUUACUACAUUAUUUAAUCGAAUUUUCUAUAGUGCGCCCAAGGGCACACAAUAGUCACUAACAUACAUGAAAAUACUAGCUUUUGAUUGGUGGAGGGAUAAUAAAUGUAAAUAGCGCACUGCAUUCACAUCAAUUCCACCAAUCAAAACAAGCUAUUUUCAUGAAAGUUGGUGCUUAUUGUGUGCUUUGGGCACACAUUAGAAAGACCGUUAUUUAAUUAUUCUUCUUCCUAGUCUGAAGAGCCUACAUAUUUGGUCUGGUGCAAAAGAAUAAACCUAAACAAAUUUUCGCCCAUAUCUCAAUUAAUUAUGAAUAAUAAUUUUGCAAUUUACACACAUUAACGGUUUAAUUGAUGGUUGAUUGUUGGAACAUGUUAGUAAUAUAUAAAAAGAAAGCAUGGAGAUGUGUUUACAUCUCUUGCAUGCUUACUUCGUGAUAAAGCAUUAGGAAUUAGAAUUACCCACAAUGUAUUCAAACUCCUGCAGCAUUUAAAUCGAUCGCUAAUUAUUUCAAAACAGAGUUAGUACUUACUAACUUGAUGCAUUUGAACUCGUGCACAUUUUAAAACAUCCGUAAGUGUUUCUCAUUCGGAAAUAUGUUAUCCCUUUUACUAGAAAAUAAUGAAUAAUUGUUUGCGUAAUGAUAAUUUAACGGAGAAACAAUAAUAUUUUGUUGUGUUUGGAGCCGGCGUGGUUGGAGCCUGGAAGGAAACAAAAAUCACUUUUGCAAGAAUUUGCUAAAAUUAAGUUAUAGAAACGUCAUAGAGAUCAUAAAAAUAUGGGCAAUGCUAGAUAUUCCAAAAAGUUUUCCCAAAAUAUUUUACCAAAUGAUGUGGCACACAAGUGGAAGAUUUUGAUUGGGUGAUUGAUGAAUAUACAAGGGGUCUCAUUAUUAUUGGAGAAAUGCAACCAAUGAGUGUAUGCCACAUCAUUUGAGAAAAAAAUUUGGGCUGAUGUUUUGGGGUAUGUAGCAUUUUCCUAAAAAUAUAUCAUGCUCCGCCUACAUAUACAAAUGACAACUCAGGUGGGCGGAAUAUUCAUCGGUAACGAGCACGGGGAAGCCUGACCAUCAAGUCAAAUUUUACCAUUCCAAAACAAAAACCCACAUUAAACAAUGCCCCUGACUAUCAGUUUCUUACUCUCCUCUCCUAUAUAAACCAGCACUCUCUUUGCAUAACCUCACAGUCACAACAAUUAAAUCAUAUUUCUCUCUACUUUGCAGUUGAAAUGGGUUCUUGUGAAAGCACUGAAAGAUCCAGCCCCAACGGAGAUGGCUUGUUAACCACAGCUGAAAUCGAAGAAAAGAGAAAGAAAGAGAUCAUAGAGGCAGCCAAGGUUGCUGGUGGCCUGGUGGCGGCUGGUGUAAUUGCAUGGGGAGUGUCUAGCUUAUUCUCCUCUGAAUCAUCUGGGAACAGGAAAGUGAUGAAAGCUCCUGGUAGAAAUGGUUACAUCUACAGGGAUGAAUUUGAGAGUGACCCUGCACGCUAUUUCAGAAGCCUUCGUGAUUGAGUGUUAAGUGCUAUGUUUUGGUAUUACUAUUAUGAUUUUAAUGAUAUUAUGGAUUAUUAAGAUCAAGCUAAUGUAAUCGAAUUCUGGAUUUUAUUUAAAUAUUGUUUACGAAAUGUUUGCAUGACUGCAUGUAUUAUAAAAUAUGAAAUAAUUCAUGUGAAUUGGAUUUCAACAGACUCAUGAAUUAGGUAACUGUAUAUAGUAGAACGGGAUGAAAAAAUCAUAAGAAUACGUGGUUUGUUGUUAUAAACACAUCAAUUUAACUCAUGUGUUAUGUUCCAGUGAGGUUAUAAAUUUUCAACUUCCAAGUUUGGAACAACAAAAAUUGCCAUGUUUAUUAGUUUUGAAACUGGCGAUCAUAUGUUCAAUAAAACUAAGAUAUUGGGGAAAUUUAAAUUUAUAUAUAUUUUUGUGGAGAUUAUACUUUUUAACGAGUGACCAGGUUUUUGCUAUGAUAAUUUUCAGUUAAUUAUAAAAUUUCUUGAGAAAAUGGUGAAUAAGUGAUAGUUAUUUAUGUAUAAAUAACUAUUAUUCCAGGGGACUGCACUUCCGCAUGUCUUCUCUCAGUGAUCGCUUAGAGCCCCUCUUUCGGAGGUGGACCCGGGUUCGUUAAAUCAAAGGAGCUAAAUGAAAAUAAUCUCUACUAGCAAUUUAAAAUUAUAUAAAAAUUGUCCAGUUGAUAGAAUGAUGACGUAGCAUUUAAUAUUUUCUUUUUCUAGUUUCAAUAUACCCUUUAAAUCAUAGCUAAGUUUUGUGACGUCUGAAUUGUUUUAAUUUUUUAACAUUGAUGUUUAAUAUAUAAUCAAACAAAUGAUGGCGAAUAAUUUUAUAAUUAAUAAUUAAAAGUUAUAACUACAACUCACAUAGUAGCUUCUAAUUGCUAUUUAUAGAUGAAAACGUCAAAAACAAUCAACGAGACUAAAUUUUCUUGAGGAUAAUACUUUUAUAUCUAAAAACCCUGGUAUCAUGUGAGUUUUUAUUAACUUUUGGAUUUAUAACUUUUCCCUUUAUUUUACACAAUCUAGGAUUUAACUGGCAAAUCCAUUUUGAGUCGGGCAAUGUGGCGUAUAGCCCUGUCAUAUAAGCAAUCUACUAGUAAAUACAGUCAUGUUAUUAAAGGGCUGAGUCAUUUAAUCUGACUGGGCUUGAAUUGGAAGAAGGUUAUAUAUUAAAUGGGCCACAAAAUUUUUACCCGGGCUGGAGUCCAUCUGAGCCCAGCCUGAGGUCUGGCUCUCUCCUAUGGUUUUAUCAAGAAAAAUGCUAUAUACCUCAAAAAUCCAUCCCAAAUUUUUUUUCAAAUAAUGUGACAUACUUGGUUGCAUUCACUCAAAUCAAUAAUAAUGAAAUCCUUUCAUAUAUUCAUCUCACCCAAUCAAAAUCUUUCACUUCUUCGGAGUCUAUACCCUUCCUGAUAAGUUUCAUUAUUCCCCAAAUUUUGUUUGCAGAGAACCCGCCAACGCUCGUGAAACAACAACUAUAAAUUAUCUAACUUCUUAAACUAUAAUUAGAAACGAAAAAAAUGGAAACAAAAAUGAAAAAUAUAGUAGAUGACAAAUGAAUUAUAAGAAAUAUUUGAUUAAUUUAAAUCUAAAAAGCCGAAAGGGACAAUUCUUAUAAAAUAAACAACUUUCGUAUAAUAACUAAACGAAAUAAUAAAUCAAUUACUACAUUAUACUGUAAAUUUUGUUUAUAAUAAUUCAAAAUUACUCAUGUUUACAUAAUUCCAGACCGAGGUAUUAACAUUCAUGGGUAACGAGCAGCUUGACCAUCAAGUCAAAUUUCACCUCUCCAAAACAAAACCCCACAUUAAACGAUGCAUCAGACUAUCAGUUUCUAUAUAAACCAGCCCUCUCUCUUUGCAGAACCACACAAUAAGUGUAAUAUUUCUCUUUAGCUUUAAUUCAAAUGGGUUGCUGUGAAAGCACAGAAAGGUUCUGCAGGCCGAACGGAGAUGACUUGUCUGCAUGCGAGCUUGCCAUUGGCCUGGCGGUGACUGGUACUAUGAUUGCAUGGGUAGUAUAUAGGUUAUGCUGUUCUGGAUCAUCCCGGAAUUGGUUAUAUCUACAGGGAAGACUUUGAGACUGACCCUGAAUUAGAUGUGGCAAUAUGGUUGCAAAACCAUUAAACCAAUCCAAACCAAACCAAAAUUGUGGAUUUGGAUCCAUUUAAAAUCACAUUUAGAAAAAUGGAUUUGGUUUGGUUUCUAGUCUCACAUUUCUCACAAAAUAUGGAUCAAACCACAUGUGGUCUCACUUUUAGGAUUUCUUAUAAGUCUCCACACACACUAUUAUUUCCUUUUUUUUUUAAUUUCUUUCUUUUUGCUAGUUACCACACAUGCACAUCCCAUGAUUCAAACUCAUGAACUUAGUUGGAAAAGCCAAGAUCUUGAACCACUACAUCAACUCACACACGAACACACACUUUUGUUAUAUUUAGUAUUCAUUAUAUUGUCACUUGAGUGUAUUAAUUUUUGUUCAUUAUAUAAUAUUUAUUUUUACUUACUAAACUAGUUACCCAUAAUUUAAACUAAAACCAUAAUCACAUUUACUAAUAUAUGGUUAGGAAAUGGUUUUGGUUUAUUUCUCCAAACUAAAUCCAUUUUAUAAGAACCAAAACCAAACCAAAAUCAUAUUUCGCCACCUCUCCUGAAUAUUUCAGAAGCCUUCAUGAAUGAGCCCUUUGGGAUGCUGAUUAAGUCAAGUCCAAUAUGUUUGCUAGUGUUCUGGUAUUAUUGUCAUGAUUUUGAUUAUAUUAUGGAUUUUUAAGACGAAAUAAUGCAAUGAAAUUAUGUAUUAUUAAGAUGAAGCUAAUGUAAUCGAAUCUAUACUAUAAUAUAAUAAGUCAACAUAGGUUUAAUUUGUAGUCGUACAAAACUUUGGUUUGGUCAUCUCCUUUAUAACUACAAGUCGGUCACAUGUAGACUUCUCUUACUCUUACAAUAUUAAAGAGUUUUAUACCGUUCAAAUUACAAACUCUUGUGAUGUAAUACAAGAUAAAAAAAACUCCAUCAUUAUUCUUUUAAAUAUAAUUUAUAUAUUAUUUAUAUACUAUAUUAUAAUAAACCGAUAUUGGUAUAAUUCGUAGUCGUCCAAAAAAUGUAAUCAGUUGGUAAAUAUAAUCUGGUUAAAUCUAAUCCAUUAAUAUUAAAAUAUUAACAAGAUGAUGUUAAAAUUUAAAUUAUAAUUAAUAAAUUACGAACAACAUAGGUUUAAUUUGUAGUCGUACACAAUUUUGGUUUGGUCAUCUCCUUUAUAACUACAAGUCCGUCACAUGCAGACUUCUCUUCCUCUUACAAAAUUAAAGAGUUUUAUACCGUCCAAAUUACAAACUCUUGUGAUGUAAUACAAGAUAAAAAAAACUCCACCAUUAUUCUUUUAAAUAUAAUUUAUAUAUUAUUUAUAUAUUAUAUUAUAAUAAACCGAUAUUGGUAUAAUUCAUAGUCAUCCUAAAAAUGUAAUCAGUUGGUAAAUAUAAUCUGGUUAAAUCUAAUCCAUUGAUAUUAAAAUAUUAACAAGAUGAUGUUAAAAUUUAAAUUAUAAUUAAUAAAUUACGAAUUCUAUACCCGCCCGUGCUUCGCACGGGUUAAAGGCUAGUACUUAAUUAUAUUUAAAUAUUGUUUAUGAAGUGUCUGCAUGACUGCAUGUAUUAUAAAAUAUGAAAUAAUUCAUGUGAAUAGAAUUUUAACAGACUCAUGACUCAUGAAUUGGGUCACUGUGCUAGAAAGGGAUGAAAAAUUCAUAAGAAUAUGUGGUUUGUUAUACAGGUCAACAGCAAUUUAACUCAUGUGUUUAUGUUCCAUUAAGGUUAUAAAUUUGCAAUUUUCAAGUUUGGAACAACAAAAUUGCCAUGUUUAUUAGUUUUGAAAUUGACGAUCAUAUGUUCAAUAAAACUAAGAUAUUGGGGAAAUUUAAAUUUAUGUAUAUAUUUUUGUGGAGAUUAUACUUUUUAACGGGUGACCAAGUUUUUGUUGUUAUAAUUUUCAGUUAAUUAUAAAAUUUCUUGGAAAAAUGGUGAAUAAGUGAUAGUUAUUUAUGUAAAAUAAAUAUUAUUCCAAGGACUUGCCCUUCGACACUAGUUCUAUCAUCAUUUCGCUUGAAGCCCCUCUUCUAUCAAUCCAAUGGUGUGGCUGUGGCAUUCCAUAUGAAUUUUUUUUUUUCUUCCACAAUCAGAAUGUUAGUGAUAUUCUUCGACCUACUUUUUUUAUGCAAAGCUCAAUUUUGAAAAAAACUACUAUCUUGAUAAGUUCGCGCAAAAUUUUAUAUACAAAGAUAUGCAAUUGAUGGCCUUUUAUUGCUGCGCUAGUGCCCUGGUUGUACUUGCGUGUUUACUCCACAACCCGCAACUAAGAGUAUAAUUUAUCUAACUUUUUUUUUUGAAACAAUAAUUUAUCUAACAUUUUAAACUAUAAUUUGAAACGAAAAAAAUGAAAACAAAAAUGAAUAAUAUAGUACAUGACAAAUGGAUUAUAAGAAAUAUUUAAUUAAUCCAAAUCUAAAAAGUCGAAAGGGACAAUUCUUAUAAAAUAAACAACUUUCAUAUAAUAACUAAAAGAAAUAAAUCAAUUUAUUUCGUUUUGUCUUUGUUCGAACGGCUAAGAGGACCUCCUGGCUCCUUGGUAAUCAAAAAAUAUAGGUAGCAUGCCAUGAAUAUAAUAUAUAGAUAAUAUAUUUGUGAAAUAUAAUAUAUUGAUAAUAGACUAUAUGGUAAUAUAUUGUCAAAAUAGACAUAUAAAAAAGGACUGAUAGAAUAUUAAAUAAUAUUUUUUAUUUAUAAUAAGUUUAAAUAAUAUACCAGAUGUCAUUAAUUCGAGCUGAUAACAUCUGCUGCAACAUUCUAAUCGUAUCCGCAAAUUAUAAUGGAUGACGACAUAUUUCAAAACCAAGGUAUUAUUAAUAUUCAUCGGUAACGAGUACAGGGAAGUCUGACCAUCAAGUCCAAUUUUUUCCCUCCAAAACAAAACCCCACAUUAAACGAUGCGGCUGACUAUCAGUUCCCCACUCUUAUCUCCUAUAUAAACCAGCCCUCUCUCUGCAGAACCUCACAAUAAGUAAAUUACAUAUUUCUCUUUAGUUUGUUGAAAAAGGGUUGUUGUGAAAGCAUAGAAAGCUCAAUGCCGAAUGGAAAUGACUUGUCUGCAUCCGAGCUUGCUAUUGGCCUGGUUGUGGCUGGGGUAAUUGCAUGGCUAGUAUGUAGCUUAUGCUGUUGUGGAUCAUCCCGGAACAAAAAAAGUGUUAAAAAAAGCUUCUCGUAGAAAUGGUUAUAACUACCGGAAUCAUCCCGGAAGUAAAAAGUGAUAAAAGCUCUGGGAUGCUGAUGAAGUCUUUAAUUAUGUUUGCUAAUGUUUUGGAAUUAUUUUUAUGAUUUUUAAUUGUAUUAUGGAUUUUGAUGACGAAGCUAAUGCAAUGAAAUUCUUGAUUAUAUUUGAAAGUCUGUCUGUGUAUAAAACAUGAAAUCACUCAUGUGAAUUGAAUUUCAACGACUCAGUAAUUUAACUCGACUCAUGUGGGUUGUGUUAUGCAAUUGUUAUAAAUUUGCAACAAGAGUUGCCAUCAAAUUAUAAUAUGUUUACUGGUUUCGAAUUCGAUCAUAUAUUAUUUUCAAAAAAAAAAUAAAAAUUCGAUCAUAUAUUAAACUGUAGUAUUAAGAUAUUGGAGAAAUUUUAAAUUAUGUUUAGUUUUCCGAUGUUUAAAUCAUCUUCACCGGUUAGGAAAAUGAAAAUUUUGUUGUUCUGCCUACCUUUUGAUUUUUCUAGAAUUUGCAAAAUAAAAAAGUUGAAAUCAUUUUCUUAAUAAAUAUUAAAAGAAAAAUUCAAAAUAAAUAUAAAAAUAUCAAAUAAAAAAAUAUCAAAAUAUUCUUAUAAAAAUUUAUUGAAUUUUGUUUUAAGAUAAUUGAACAUGAAAGAUAAUAUAAACUUCGAAUUUUGAUUUCUUCCGUAUAAACCGGAUAUAUGAAAGUUUUGACCGAGACUUCUCAUAGGUUUCGAACUUUUUUUAAAAAAAUCAUAGGUAUAGAACUCUUAGCUUCUGUAGUUCAAUCUUGAGCUCUUCGAGGAUACAUUGCCUCGUCACGUUACAGUCUACGUUGCAAAAUAUACGGUUAUGAUGCUGAUCUUCUGGAAAAAUAUCCACCUUUUUAAUUGUUUUAACGCAUGAUUGUGCAGGUGUAUGUUUGAUUAAGAACUUUGGUGCUGCGUUAUGGGAUGCUUUUGUAGUUGUUUUCGUGUCCCGGAGGAGGAGGAUGGCGGUGCUGUGGUGGUUGUUUCUGGUAGCCAAAAUCGCGGACCUUUCAGUUACAUGGCACAAUUUUUCGAUAACAAGGUAAUUUAACCACUCUUUAGUGAGUUAGUGAGUUAGGUGUUGAAUUUCUGCCGGCUCCAAUGUCAUUAAUAAUGAUGGCUUCUACAAAAAUCUUUCAAUUAAGUAAAAAAUAGUUGUUAGUGUGCGGCCAUGGGCACACAGUAGAAAGACUAAUUUGCUAAAUAUUGCACGAAAUCUACAAUGGUCCUGAAAUUAGAAUCGUUUAGUUAUGAUUUGUUCGAGGAUUAGAUGAGUAUUGUUGAAUUUUUGUUUGGUUUCGUUAAAAGUAGACGGUGGAAUUGACAUUUGAGUGAAAUUUCUGACAGUAUGGAGUUGUAUCUGGGAACCCUUCUUCUGCACAGACAGAAGUUAGGACUAAUACGCAUGCAUCAUCAGAAUGCAGUUCAAGUUCCAGAAAUCUUGAAUUUCAGCGGCAUGUUGCUGUUGUAGAACCAGGCAGAGGAUUGAGAUUUUUGCAGUCAGAGCAUGGGCCACCUGAAGGGCACGAUGUGCUAGUGAAGAGGCCUUAUAUUGCCACACCAGAAGCUGGCACUAAUACGCCCCAGGGUACAUUUUUACCAAACAGUUUGAGGUCUAGGAAUCUUGAUCUGGAAGGGAAUGCUGCUGUCCAAGGAAAUGGCACAGUCUCGGCUCCUUUGCAAUUGAGGCACGGGCCAGCUGAAGGACACGAUGAGCAAGCGAAUGUGUGUAGUAAAAGCAAAGACAAUGCAGGCGGAAUUUCAAAGGAUGAUAAGGCUGAAGCCCUUCGUGUUGCAUCCCCUGUAAACGUGUCAUCUGAGAGAGUUGAGACUGAAUAUAAACAAGUCUUUUGUUUAACAAGAGGUGAAGUAGAAUGCCCUACAUGCCUCGAAGGUAUUUAUACUUUCUUAUAGCUUAAUUGUUAUGCUAUCGAAGUUAGAAUUGUUUUGUUAAUGCUAUUCUCUGAAUGAUUACAGAAUAUACUGAUGAAAAUCCCAAGAUAACUUCACUAUGUAAUCACAAUUUUCACCUAGGUUGUAUCUAUGAGUGGAUGGAAAGAAGCUCUACCUGUCCAAUGUGCUUUGAGGUAGGAUGCUUCUUCUUUAUAUUGCUCCAAUCCAAGAAUUUGUAUGAAAUUACAGAUUAAAGUUCUGUUUCUGUUCUGCGUGCACAUGUGUCACUGAUUGCACAGAUUACUCUUAUUUGAUUUGCUCAUUUGACAUUAGCUUCACAGCCAAAUUCUUUCUUUCCUUUGACAUGCCUUUGAAUCUCUUCUCCAGGAAAUGAAAUUUCUUGAAAAUAUUUAGCAGCACGGCCUGAGAACAACUGAGGCUAGUCAAGAUCACUCAAGAGAAGAAAAUGGAGAACGCAGUGUCUAUUGUUAGAAACUUGCCAACGAAUAUGGGAACUUUUAUUGGAGGUAAGAUGUAUAGAAAAAUUUAGGUUCUGAAUGCCAGAUUAGUUAUAAUCAUAGUAGGCUGAUUUGAUCAAUAUUAUAUAUCUGUGAAGAAUAUGGAGAGCAUUAUAUCUCUCUGGUUAUUGUAGAUCGUUUCCUGUUCCUGUACCUCUUCCAUGUUAAAUUCUUGAGUUUCAGCAUAAUAUUUCUUUUAAUGUUGGCAAGUCCCAAUCCAGGAAAAGGUUAGGAUCCAGCCAUACUUAUGCAUUCAACCAAAACACGUAAAUAUGGUGAUAAUAUUGUAAAGUUCCAGAAAAUCGCCCAGAACCUUAAAAAAUGAAUACAUAAUCUAGGGAGGCCCAGGUCAAUAAUCUGCUGGGAGGUCCUGUGCAAAACUAAAUUAUGAAUUCGAACAGACAUACAGUAGUGAUUGAUGUAAAUGAAGUAGUCGAUAAUAAGAUCCUGUAAUCUCCUCAGCUGGGUUGACAACAAAUUAGAUAAAAUUAUAAAUUAUGAUAUAAUUUCCUCAGCUGGGACACACAAAAACAUCAAAACGAACACACACAUCCCGAAAAUAUGGGUACGACUAACAACCUUGAUAACAAGGUACUCAACAAGAACUCAUCCAAAAAGGGUUAGAUCUUGAUUUUAUUAAUAAAACGAUAAAUAUGAGAGAAGAUGGAAGAGCGAAAAUGAUUACUCAGGGAAGAGGAUGAAGAUUGAAGGCGGAGAAGUGGCGGCUAGAACGUAGGUCGACUCUCAAAACUGCAAACCCUCACCUACGUGUUCUUAAGAAUAUUUAACUUAUACUACUUUAAUUAUAGAUAAUGAAACUUAACGUCUUUAAUUAACACAAAAAUUGGAAAAGCAAAAAUUUAACUAUAUCAAUAUCUUUAAAUGUGUGUGAGAAAACACCAAAUGUCGAUUAUUUGAAUAAAAAGUAUACGUGUGAGUGCUUAAUCUUGGACAACUUGUGAAAAUCUGUCAUGAUCAGGGGCGGAACCAAGGGGGGCUAGCCCCGGCGCCAGCCCCGGCUGAGAAAAAAAUAAUAAGUAUAAUUUAUUUAUUUUUAGUUUUUUAGCCCGGGGACAAAUUUAAAAAUGAUUAUAUAUAUAAAAAAUAGCCCACUUAACAUGGUGGUUUACAUCGAGAAGGUCAUAUUUAAAGACAUAGAUGAUGAAGUUAUCUUACAACGCUAUCAAAAUAUGCGAAAUCGUAGAAUUUAGUUGUCAUCCAUUCCUUCCUAAAAAAAAGCAGUAAAGAUGUCGCCACUUAACCAAUUAAGAUAUGCAUAUUUACUUUUAAUUUUUUUGCUGAAAUUUUAAUAAUAAUUUAGCCGGGGGUCGAAAUUAAUCCUGGUUCCGCCACUGGUCAUGAUUCUGAUGCAAACAAGAGGAUUACUGUGCCGCAAAUGGUGGACGGGAUCAGAGCCUUGUAUGGUGCUGCUCAUCUAACAACGACAAAUUUACUUUCAUGGACCGUUUUUCUUCUGGCAGUCGACACAGAUUGGCAGGAUAAAGCUAGGAAGGAAGUGGUUCAACACUUUGGCCAGGAAAAUCCAUCGUCUGAUGGCAUUGCCAGGCUUAAAUCCGUAAGAAUAUUACAGGCCUAAUCAACACACACAAGUCAUAUGAUCUCUGGAAUUUAAUCAUUGUCAUGGUUCUUAUUUUAUUUUUUUUGCCAGUCAUGGUUCUGUUUUAAUUUUCUUGUAGAUGAACAUGAUUAUAAACGAGUCACUUAGACUCUACAAAUAUGGGGCAAAGAUGUUCAUCUCUUCAGACCAGAAAGAUUUUCUGAAGGGAUGGCUAAAGCGACAAAUAACAAUGCUGCAGCAUUCAUUCCCUUCGGUAUGGGGCCUCGGACUUGUGUGGGACUGAACUUCACAACAAAUGAAUCGAAGAUUGCACUUUCAUCACAACAAAUGAAUCGAAGAUUGCACUUUCAAUGAUCAAGGUACAAGUUCUCACUGUCCCCAAACAAUGUUCACCACCCUGCUGAUAUAUAUAUCCUCACCCGGAAAAAUGGAGUUAAAGUGAUACUUGAGAAACUUAACUCUUAGCAGAAGAAACUACUUAUUCUACUCCGAAGUUGUGAGUUGUUUGUAUAAUUAAUAUGUAAAUAGGAUUGAAGUUACAUAGAUUAUCGAAAUUAUGCAUUAAGUGUAUGAAAUUCAAGGAUUACAUUGAGUAUGGAGAAUGUGAGAUAAAUAAUAAUGUCAGAAUUGUGGUAUCUAAUCAUUGUACCAUGUAAUAUCAUUUUUUAAGAUACUUUUAAAUAUUUUUUAGCUGAAAAUGUACUAUGAAACAGCUGCAGAUUUCUUUUGAUAAACAUUAUUUAAAUUUUCUCCAAUAUCUACACCAACAACUUAUAUACAAAGACGCAAUGGUUGGACUCUUUUCAUUUUCCUUGGUUAAUAAAUUAAAUAAAUAACAAAAAAUGCAAAAAGUUUGAACAGUAAAAUAUUGUGAAAUCAACAAGAAAUGUAUAUUUCAUGAUUCUUUAAAUUUAAUUAACAUGAGUCACAUUUCAUUGUUAGAUGUUAUAUAUAUAUAUAUAAGAAUAAUUAAAUUUAAAGAGUUAUUAAAAAUAAAAUAAAAUAUCCUUUAUCAUGAAAAACUAAACUAAAUCAAACAUAUAUUAUAAAAAUCCAGUGCUAAUAAUCUUAUUUUAGAAAGUUUGGAAUAUACAUAUCAUUUCAUAAUGUAAAACCAAUAUCACCCGAAUUCUUUAAUUUUGCAUCUUUGUACCCAGCUUUACAAAAUAGAUUUUUGUUUGAUGGCUAAACGACUCAUAACAGCAACAAUGAAACUCUUCAAAGAAGAUAGAUUUCAAGUAAAUGAAAAAACAGACUUUUUUUUGUCUUUUUUGAAAUUUAUGAUGUAUUUGAGUUAUAAUCCUACAGAGUUGAAUUGUAAAAGCUAUGGACUGUAAUUUAGUAACUUAAAUUAGAUUAUUUCAAGACUCUCAAUGUCGUCACAUAAUUUCCUGUACUUCAAAUACAGUGCAUCUAAACAAUCCAUCUUUCAAACCGUCUCUAAUCAAUUUUCAUCUGAAAUCAACACCAAAGAAACUGGACCAUCAAAACAAACUGUUGCACUUCCAACUAAACCAUUUGUUUCAUAUAUCUCUUCCUAUAUAAGCCCCCAAACUCUCCGCUUAAGCAUACAUAACUACAACAAGUAUAUACUCCGAGCAGAAAGUGAAAAUGGCAGGUUCUAAAGGUUCGAAAUCUGGGGGUUCUACCUCAAUGGGCUCCAAAACGGGUGGCUCUGCUGCUACGAGCUCGAAAAGUACUGGUGGUUCGCAAAAAGGUUCUGGUGGGUCCUCGGGAAGCAAGGUCCAGGGAUCAAGCAAGGAUACUAUGAAGGCGCCUGGGCAGGAUGGGUUCAUUUCAAGGAGUGGUUUUGAGAGUGACCCCAAAGGCUAUUUCAAAGGUCUUCGUGAUUAAGUCUGAAUAAUUAAGCAAGUAAUCAAGUGUCGAUCUAUGCAAUAUAUAUAGCUAUUAUGAAGUGUAUCAUCUCCGGC